rnacentral:rRNA from 1 species
GACGAACGCUGGCGGCGUGCUUAACACAUGCAAGUCGAACGGCAAGGCCCUGCUUUCGUGGGGUGCUCGAGUGGCGAACGGGUGAGUAACACGUGAGUAACCUGCCCUAGACUUUGGGAUAACUUCAGGAAACUGGGGCUAAUCCCGGAUAGGAGCUCCUGCUGCAUGGAGGGGGUUGGAAAGUUUCUGCGGUUGGGGAUGGACUCGCGGCUUAUCAGCUUGUUGGUGGGGUAGUGGAUUACCAAGGCUUUGACGGGUAGCCGGCCUGAGAGGGUGACCGGCCACAUUGGGACUAAGGUACGGCCCAGACUCCUACAGGAGGCAGCAGGGGGGAAUAUUGCACAAUGGGCGGGAGCCUGAUGCAGCAACGCCGCGUGCGGGAUGACGGCCUUCGGGUUGUAAACCGCUUUCGCCUGUGACGAAGCGUGAGUGACGGUAAUGGGUAAAGAAGCACCGGCUAACUACGUG